UGUAUUGUAGAAGAUCUGUUUUCUUUUUUUUACUUUUAUAUUAAUUUGUUAAUAAAAUAAUAAAUUAAAAAUUAUUUUUUUUCUUUAAACUAAAAAAUCCUGAAACAGCGCUGACUUCUAAUCAAAUAAUUAAAAGUCAUAUUACAUAAAUUAUUCUAUUGUUGGACUUAUCUAUUGUUGGUCUUUUCACUUUUUAUAUUUUAAAAUUUUCUUUCAGACACCCAGCUUGAAUGUUGCUAAUAGUAACGUAACAAAUAAAUUGGUUAUCGUCACUAAAGAUAAAUAAAAUAAACUUACAUAUGAAAUUACUUAUAUAGGCAACUCGAAAUUUGAUUUAGAUGAUUUACAGUCUGGUCCAAAAAGAUCCAUAUUAGAGGUAAAUCAUGUAUAAAACUGACAACAUAAUAUAUACAUUGUAUGUUAAAUAUAUAUUUUAAUUGCUAUUAAGCCUAUUAUAGGAACGUUGUACUUAUACGAAUCUUUGGCAUUGGUUAUUCGUCAUCUUCCUGGCGGUUGUCAGUAGUUGUUACACGAAUCAAAGGGAUAGAAAUAUUCGGAUUUUGUUAGUUACAUAUGUAUCUCUAUACUCAUGUUAUGAAAUAAUUUUUACGUUUAUUCUUUAUAUAUUAUACAGGGGUGUCAAAUUUAUUUGUUUAAACGGCAGCAUAAAUAUUAAACUAGUUUAUAAUAUAGAAUAUUAUCUAAUUAAGAAAAUAACUAUCGACAAUAACUUUUGGAUUAAUACUUUGAAAGUUAUUAGAAUUUUAAAAUAUAGUACUGAUGGUGAAGCGCAGAUUCUGCUAUUUUUAUCAUUAGUCAUUAUUUGGUCACACUUCUUCUGCCACCUAAGUACAAAAAUUAGAAUAUCUUCCAAAGCACUGGUCUAAAAGUUCUUGUUUUAAAUUACAAAUACCAUUUCCAUUAACAUAACCAUGGCUUCAUUUUAUGAGUUAUGUGGGUCUAGAGUUCUUGCAAAUGGAAAACUAACAAAACUGGAUGAUCAUGCUAUUAUUAUAUUACAAAAACUCAUUUAACUCUUAUUGCAAAAUAGACAAGACAUUAUAACGUAACUGUCAAAAAAACUGACACUAUUCAUACCCAGCUAAUAAGUCAAUCUAACUAAAAUUUGCCGCUAAUAGGUAAUGUAUGAAAACUCUAAUUGAUAUGACAAUUUUUUGAGUAUCCAUAGACUGACUUGACACAAUGAAAACAGAUCAUCAUUAAAUCAAGGUAGGGAACUAAUUUAAAUAGAUCAUUUAAAUUAAAUUGAUUAGAUCAAUCAAGUAAUGAAAACUGUGAAGAUAAAAUUAUUAAUGUCUUAUUAAAUAAUUUUUCUUAAGGAAUUUUAACAAAACCUGUGUUUUAUUUUCCAAGCAUAUUCCCAUAUUUUCUGAAAUAUUUAAUAAAGAAACAAAUUACACUAGUCACCAUAUUCAUAAUGAAAUAAUUGAAAUAUGUGCAAAUAGCGAAAAAGAGUAAAUAGUAUAAUGUGUGAUGAAGCAAUUUUUAGAUUUUAUAAAGAAGAACAAAUGUUUAAUAUUAUUUUGAAACUUGUAAAUUAAAUACUAAAUCUCAAAUAAUUUCACAAUCCUAUGAUUGUUGGAAUUUCUGUGGAAAUAUCAUGUCUGGAAAUUCAAUGAAGUCAAUCUAGAAUAAGAAUUGGUAUGCUUUAUAGAAUAAAUCUUUUGGUUGCAGAUAGGUGCAAAAUGUUUAAAGAAACCUUAAGUUUUUUUAACUUGAUUAAACGUAUUUACAUUCAUUUUUCUUAUCCCCAAAGAAUUGUCAAUUAGUUGAAUUGCAUAAAAACUUGGACAGAAAAACAAAAAUUAUGGGCGCAUUAGUAAUAAUAGAUGGAAUUGUAGAUUUAAAAACUGUGAAGCCAUUAAACAAUGUUUCUAGAGUAUUCUUAUUGUACUUAAAAGAGAAAUAGAAAAUGAAAUUGAUAAAGAUGUCAAUAAAGCAAAAGAAAUACUCUCAACAAUUACAAAAGGAGACAUUUAUUAAAGUUUAGUUCAUCAUGCACAACAUCUUGUGUAUGAUCUUGGCUGUGCUUAAUGCAGAGACUGACAAUCAAAGUUCCACUGUUUCUAGAUAAUAAAAUUCAAAGAUGGUUCUUGGCUAAACCAAUGAUGAAUGGGAUGGGUAUUAUCUUUGGUUUGCAACAAAGAUCAAACACCACCAAUGAGAAAAUCACAAAAAUAAUUUUGUUGGGAUUAAACUCAGGAUCCUGUGCGCUUAAACAUACGUUUCUACCCAUUAUGCUAGACUGACCCAUUUAAAGAGUACAGAAAUCGAAUACAAUUUUCAAUAAUAACACAAUGCAGUAAGAUGAAUAUUACUUGUUGAGCUUUCAGACUAAUGCCAGUCAUAAAAUAUAUUUAUUAAAAUAUUAAUUUGACACGUAUGAAAUUUCAAUAAUGAGCAACAACAGAAAUUU